GAGAAGCAACUCAACCAUGACAAACAUAACAAAGGAAGGGGCCUGAAAAUGACCAGGGGAUUUGGCUAGAAUAAGACUACAGCCAAAUGAAGAAAACAACUUCCAUGGAGAACCUAAGAGGGACACUGGAGGGAAAAGAAAUGAGUGAGAGCCACAUCUGUAAAUAUGAAGCUAAUCAAAUCACCCCUCCUGCUGAAAUCCUUCAGGACCUCAAGGUCCUCCACAGGAUAAAGCCCAGUCUUCACAGCAUGAAAUCAAGGCAUAAUCUGAUCCCUGAAGAAUCCACUUCACCAGGAUUCAUCCACUCUGUAAAGCCUUCUGGAUCUUCCUAACAGAUAAUCCCAAUUCUCCACUCUUAACAGCAUUUUAUGCAUAACUAUUUUAAUAGCAAGUAACUCUACCUAUCAACCAGCGUUAUCCCUAAAUAAUCACACAACCACCAACUCUCUAGUCAGACCUGAGCUCACAUCUCAGUUCCACUAUUUAUUAACUACGUAAUCUUUAGCAAACCUCUCAACGCUUUUGGUCCUUGGCUUCCAGGACUGGAAAACUAGCAUAAAACAUCACCCUCAUGAAUUCCUAUGAUGAGCAAUGAAAAAAUAUAAAUAAUAAUUCACAGUUCUAGAAAACCUAUACAACUGUAGUGAAGCUAACAUCCGCUAAACCUAAAAAGAAACUAACAUAUAAAGGAACUAAACCUCCUGUGUGUCAGGUUUAAGUUCUACCUUUGUGAUGAGGAUAUAUGUAAUGAGUUUUACUUAAAGAAAAUGUCUUGUUUUUCAGGGGAAAAAAGUCACAAGCCUAUAACAACUGAACAUUAAAUUUGACCUUCAAAGACA